rnacentral:rRNA from 1 species
AGAGUUUGAUUAUGGCUCAGGAUGAACGCUGGCGGCGUGCUUAACACAUGCAAGUCGAACGAAGCAGUUAUUACGAUCCCUUCGGGGUGACGAUUUACUGACUGAGUGGCGGACGGGUGAGUAACGCGUGGGUAACCUGCCUUGUACAGGGGGACAACAGUUGGAAACGACUGCUAAUACCGCAUAAGCGCACGGUGUCGCAUGACACAGUGUGAAAAGUAUUUUCGGUACAAGAUGGACCCGCGUCUGAUUAGCUAGUUGGUGAGGUAACGGCCCACCAAGGCGACGAUCAGUAGCCGACCUGAGAGGGUGACCGGCCACAUUGGGACUGAGACACGGCCCAAACUCCUACGGGAGGCAGCAGUGGGGAAUACUGCACAAUGGGCGAAAGCCUGAUGCAAGCGACGCCGCGUGAGCGAAGAAGUAUUUCGGUAUGUAAAGCUCUAUCAGCAGGGAAGAUAAUGACGGUACCUGACUAAGAAGCACCGGCUAAAUACGUGCCAGCCGCCGC